GAUGAACGCUAGCGAAAGUUACGCUAAUACCGCAUACGAUCUACGGAUGAAAGCGGGGGAUCGCAAGACCUCGCGCGAUUGGAGCGGCCGAUAUCAGAUUAGGUAGUUGGUGAGGUAAAGGCUCACCAAGCCAACGAUCUGUAGCUGGUCUGAGAGGACGACCAGCCACACUGGAACUGAGACACGGUCCAGACUCCUACGGGAGGCAGCAGUGGGGAAUUUUGGACAAUGGACGCAAGUCUGAUCCAGCCAUUCCGCGUGCAGGAUGAAGGCCCUCGGGUUGUAAACUGCUUUUGUACGGAACGAAAAGGUUUGUCUUAAUACGAUGAGCUCAUGACGGUACCGUAAGAAUAAGCACCGGCUAACUACGUG
rnacentral:rRNA from 1 species